AGUGAACGCUGGCGGUAGGCCUAACACAUGCAAGUCGAACGGCAGCACAGGAGAGCUUGCUCUCUGGGUGGCGAGAGGCGGACGGGUGAGGAAUACAUCGGAAUCUACCUUUUCGUGGGGGAUAACGUAGGGAAACUUACGCUAAUACCGCAUACGACCUACGGGUGAAAGUGGGGGACCGCAAGGCCUCACGCGAUUAGAUGAGCCGAUGUCCGAUUAGCUAGUUGGCGGGGUAAUGGCCCACCAAGGCGACGAUCGGGAGCUGGUCUGAGAGGAUGAUCAGCCACACUGGAACUGAGACACGGUGCAGACUCCUACGGGAGGCAGCAGUGGGGAAUAUUGGACAAUGGGCGCAAGCCUGAUCCAGCCAUACCGCGUGGGUGAAGAAGGCCUUCGGGUUGUAAAGCCCUUUUGUUGGGAAAGAAAUCCUAUCGGUUAAUAACCGGUGGGGAUGACGGUACCCAAAGAAUAAGCACCGGCUAACUUCGUGCCAGCAGCCGCCGUAGUAA
rnacentral:rRNA from 1 species